AGGAGUGAAGAUAUUUUGAAGCCAUUAUCAAAGUUUAAAACACUGACCUCCAUAAGGGGAAAGAAGUCAGUUAAAGAAUAGUGUUUAUGGUAUGAUCUAAUUUUUGUGUGAAACUGUACUGUGUACAUGUAUAUUUUUAUGUAUGUAGCUGAUUGAAUAGAGGUAAGGUAUGGGAAGAAUUUGGCUUUCCAUGUUCUUGUUUCCAUACAUAAUGCUUACUGAGCACUUACCUUGUAUCAGGCCCUGUGUUGGGUGGUAAGGGUAUAGUAUUGAGCACGAUAGACAAGAACCCUGCCUUUAAGGAACUCAGCAUUGUUGUUUGAAAGAUCAUACUUCUGGAUUUUCUGAAUUUGUUAUAGGAAAUAAUAUUUUUAUGAUUUACUAAAGAAAAGUUAAAAAUUAGAGUAGUAACAAGCUGGCCCAGAUUGACUAUAAACAAAUAUUAAAAAGAAAUUUAAAAAAAUUAAAAUUAAAAAUGUGUCUGGUCUCUUAUUUUUGUACUUUCUAGGGGAUUUUCUGAAUGAGGAAGAUAAGCUGUUUUAUAUUUAUGAUCCUGGUUUUCUUGUCUUCAGCUCUAUCUAUUGAUGCCUAGCUCUUUGGUAGUUGACUCAGAAUAUGAUAUUGUCUCUCUGCUUAGCUCAGCCUUACUGAGCAAUGUAGUAUUUUCCAUGUAAU